rnacentral:rRNA from 1 species
GACGAACGCUGGCGGCGUGCCUAAUACAUGCAAGUCGAACGCUUCUUUCCUCCCGAGUGCUUGCACUCAAUUGGAAAGAGGAGUGGCGGACGGGUGAGUAACACGUGGGUAACCUACCCAUCAGAGGGGGAUAACACUUGGAAACAGAUGCUAAUACCGCAUAACAGUUUAUGCCGCAUGGCAUAAGAGUGAAAGGCGCUUUCGGGUGUCGCUGAUGGAUGGACCCGCGGUGCAUUAGCUAGUUGGUGAGGUAACGGCUCACCAAGGCCACGAUGCAUAGCCGACCUGAGAGGGUGAUCGGCCACACUGGGACUGAGACACGGCCCAGACUCCUACGGGAGGCAGCAGUAGGGAAUCUUCGGCAAUGGACGAAAGUCUGACCGAGCAACGCCGCGUGAGUGAAGAAGGUUUUCGGAUCGUAAAACUCUGUUGUUAGAGAAGAACAAGGACGUUAGUAACUGAACGUCCCCUGACGGUAUCUAACCAGAAAGCCACGGCUAACUACGUG